GAUGAACGCUGGCGGCGUGCCUAAUACAUGCAAGUCGAGCGAACGGACGAGAAGCUUGCUUCUCUGAUGUUAGCGGCGGACGGGUGAGUAACACGUGGAUAACCUACCUAUAAGACUGGGAUAACUUCGGGAAACCGGAGCUAAUACCGGAUAAUAUUUUGAACCGCAUGGUUCAAAAGUGAAAGACGGUCUUGCUGUCACUUAUAGAUGGAUCCGCGCUGCAUUAGCUAGUUGGUAAGGUAACGGCUUACCAAGGCAACGAUGCAUAGCCGACCUGAGAGGGUGAUCGGCCACACUGGAACUGAGACACGGUCCAGACUCCUACGGGAGGCAGCAGUAGGGAAUCUUCCGCAAUGGGCGAAAGCCUGACGGAGCAACGCCGCGUGAGUGAUGAAGGUCUUCGGAUCGUAAAACUCUGUUAUUAGGGGAGAACAUAUGUGUAAGUAACUGUGCACAUCUUGACGGUACCUAAUCAGAAAGCCACGGCUAACUACGU
rnacentral:rRNA from 1 species